rnacentral:rRNA from 1 species
GGCGUGCUUAACACAUGCAAGUCGAACGAUGAAACCUUAGCUUGCUAAGGUGGAUUAGUGGCGCACGGGUGAGUAAUAUAUAGAUAACGUGCCUCUUAGUCUGGGAUAGCCAUUGGAAACGAUGAUUAAUACCGGAUACUCCUUCUCAUUAUAAUUUGAGUUGGGAAAGUUUUUCGCUAAGAGAUCGGUCUAUAUCCCAUCAGCUUGUUGGUAGUGUAAGAGACUACCAAGGCAAUGACGGGUAGCGGGUUUGAGAGGAUGAUCCGCCACACUGGUACUGAGACACGGACCAGACUCCUACGGGAGGCAGCAGUGAGGAAUAUUGCACAAUGGAGGAAACUCUGAUGCAGCAACGCCGCGUGGAGGAUGACGCAUUUCGGUGUGUAAACUCCUUUUAUAGGUCAAGAAAAUGACGGUAGCCUAUGAAUAAGCACCGGCUAACUCCGUGCCAGCAGCCGCGGUAAUACGGAGGGUGCAAGCGUUAUUCGGAAUCACUGGGCGUAAAGGACACGUAGGCGGGAAGCCAAGUCUGAUGUGAAAUCCUAUGGCUUAACCAUAGAACUGCAUUGGAAACUGGUUACCUAGAGUAUGGGAGGGGGAGAUGGAAUUAGUGGUGUAGGGGUAAAAUCCGUAGAUAUCACUAGGAAUACCUAAAGCGAAGGCGAUCUCCUGGAACAUUACUGACGCUAAGGUGUGAAAGCGUGGGGAGCAAACGGGAUUAGAUACCCCGGUAGUCCACGCCCUAAACGAUGUUCACUAGUCGUCGGGAUGCUAGUCAUCUCGGUGAUGCACUUAACAGAUUAAGUGAACCGCCUGGGGAGUAC